AGAGCGAACGCUGGCGGCAGGCUUAACACAUGCAAGUCGAGCGGGCGUAGCAAUACGUCAGCGGCAGACGGGUGAGUAACGCGUGGGAACAUACCUUUUGGUUCGGAACAACACAGGGAAACUUGUGCUAAUACCGGAUAAGCCCUUACGGGGAAAGAUUUAUCGCCGAAAGAUUGGCCCGCGUCUGAUUAGCUAGUUGGUGAGGUAACGGCUCACCAAGGCGACGAUCAGUAGCUGGUCUGAGAGGAUGAUCAGCCACAUUGGGACUGAGACACGGCCCAAACUCCUACGGGAGGCAGCAGUGGGAAUAUUGGACAAUGGGCGCAAGCCUGAUCCAGCCAUGCCGCGUGAGUGAUGAAGGCCCUAGGGUUGUAAAGCUCUUUUGUGCGGGAAGAUAAUGACGGUACCGCAAGAAUAAGCCCGGCUAACUCGCGCCAGCAGCCGC
rnacentral:rRNA from 1 species